rnacentral:rRNA from 1 species
UGGGGAAUAUUGCACAAUGGGGGAACCCUGAACGAGCAAUGCCGCGUGUGUGAAGAAGGUCUUCGGAUCGUAAAGCACUGUUGUAAGUGAAGAAUGCCACAUAGAGGAAAUGCUAUGUGGGUGACGGUAGCUUACCAGAAAGCCACGGCUAACUACGUGCCAGCAGCCGCGGUAAUACGUAGGUGGCAAGCGUUAUCCGGAAUCAUUGGGCGUAAAGGGUGCGUAGGUGGCACGAUAAGUCUGAAGUAAAAGGCAACAGCUCAACUGUUGUAUGCUUUGGAAACUGUCGAGCUAGAGUGCAGAAGAGGGCGAUGGAAUUCCAUGUGUAGCGGUAAAAUGCGUAGAUAUAUGGAGGAACACCAGUGGCGAAGGCGGCUUACUGGACGGUAACUGACGUUGAGGCUCGAAAGCGUGGGGGAGCAAACAGGAUUAGAUACC